ensembl:lncRNA
ACGACACAGUUGCUGUGUUUUCUCCUUAUCGAUGUACUCUGCCGAUUCCAGGAAGUCAGUCGAUCCAAUAGGAUGCGUCUCAUUUAAUCACGUAUUUUUAGAGGUCGCUGAUUGGCGGCCCAAUUAGUCGCGUCGCAGCCUCUGUUUACCGGAAGUGAUUGAGAUUAGGGGGUGAGAGGAUGGGUGUAGAUUGAGAUUAGGAACAUGAAAUGGAGCUCAGAAGGGAAGGAACUGAAGCUUGGACAGAAAGACAACAAACAACAGCUUCUGUUUGUGACAAAUGGGGUGAAGUGAGGGAAGAGAGAAGGUCAGUAUGAGAGUGAGUGAUGAGGAAAAAUGAAUGCAGGUUUUGAUUAAAUUGGCAGUGUGUUAAUCAGUUUCUCUUCAACAGCGUAUGCGAUAUUUUACACAGACAGAGAGGAGAGAUGGAGACAAAGAGAG